UACGAAGGGGGCGAGCGUUGUUCGGAUUUACUGGGCGUAAAGGGCGCGCAGGCGGCUCAUUUUGUCAGGCGUGAAAGCCCCGGGCUUAACCUGGGAACUGCGUUUGAUACGGAUGGGCCAGAGUUCGGGAGAGGAGAGUGGAAUUCCCAGUGUAGAGGUGAAAUUCGUAGAUAUUGGGAAGAACACCGGUGGCGAAGGCGGCUCUCUGGACCGAUACUGACGCUGAGGCGCGAAAGCGUGGGGAGCAAACAGG
rnacentral:rRNA from 1 species